UGUGCGGCCCACAGCAGCCCGGGCAGGGCGGCAUACAGCCACAGCGACGAGACACCGCUCAUUGUCCUUCUGGACAGAAGAUGAGAAAAGCACGAGAUCACCGCAGCUAGCUCGUAAGAUUUCCACUGCAUCCCACAGCUGUCUUCCAGGUGUCAACGCGCAACCCUCCUCCACCCCUUCGCCUCCCGCUUCCAACUCAGGGCCAAGCUUAACCUUCUCCCUUCCAACCGGACCUAACCACUUAUCACCACCACCAGUGUCUAGACCCAGGGGGGUUCAUCGGAAACGGUUCUUUCCCUUCCCGAAUGAUAUCCUACAAAACCUGGGCCUAAUCGCCAAACACCUUUUCAUUCAC